AUUGAACGCUGGCGGCAGGCCUAACACAUGCAAGUCGAGCGAGAAAGGUCUUCGGACUGAGUACAGCGGCGGACGGGUGAGUAAUGCGCAGGAAUCUACCUGGUAGUGGGAGAUAACUCGGGGGAAACUCGAACUAAUACCGCAUACGCCUACGGGGAAAGCGGGGACCGUUCGGCCGUCGCGCUAUCAGAUGAGCCUGCGUAGGAUUAGCUUGUUGGUGAGGUAAAGGCUCACCAAGGCGACGAUCCUUAGCUGGUCUGAGAGGAUGAUCAGCCACACUGGAACUGAGACACGGUCCAGACUCCUACGGGAGGCAGCAGUGGGGAAUAUUGGACAAUGGGGGCAACCCUGAUCCAGCCAUGCCGCGUGUGUAGAAGAAGGCCUC
rnacentral:rRNA from 1 species